rnacentral:rRNA from 1 species
AGUUUGAUCAGUGGCUCAGGACGAACGCUGGCGGCGUGCCUAACACAUGCAAGUCGAACGAGAUCCAUGGGAGCUUGCUCCCGGAAGAUCUAGUGGCGAACGGGUGAGUAACACGUGAGAAACCUGCCCUGGAGUGGGGAAUAACUCGGGGAAACUCGAGCUAAUACCGCAUACCCUCGGAUGGUCGCAUGGCCGACCGAGGAAAGAUUUAUCGCUCUAGGAGGGUCUCGCGGCCUAUCAGCUAGUUGGUGGGGUAACGGCCUACCAAGGCAACGACGGGUAGCUGGUUUGAGAGAACGAUCAGCCACACUGGGACUGAGACACGGCCCAGACUCCUACGGGAGGCAGCAGUGGGGAAUCUUGCGCAAUGGGCGAAAGCCUGACGCAGCAACGCCGCGUGCGGGAUGACGGCCUUCGUGGUUGUAAACCGCUUUCAGCAGGGACGAAAAUGACGGUACCUGCAGAAGAAGCCCCGGCUAACUACGUG